UUCCCCACACCAAGGACUCCAAACAAGAUCCAAGUCUUCCUCCUUAAAACCCAUCAGCUUUGAUAAGAUAAAGCCUCAAAAAAGAACCCCUGACCUUGGCCGAAAUCUUCAUCUCCCCACAAGCUAGGGUUUGGGAUUUUCUUCUUCUUCAAGCUUCAGAACUUGGGUUAGCUAUGGCGACAAGGAAGUCACGUACCGCGAGGGGUCGUUCUGCUACCCAGUCACCCGAGCCCGAACCUUUCAGUUGCACUGUCGACUUCCCUUCAAGGGCGAUUAACACCAGUGCGGUGGAAGGUCGCUCCGGCGAGGCUUAUGCUUCUGCCAACGACCCUAUGCUCAUUCCGGCUAUUCCCCAAUUUGCUCCGGACGCAUCUGAAGAACUUCCCCAGCUAAUACGCAAAGGGAAUCGACAAACUCCUCCACAGUGGGACCUCUU